UUUAUUUUUCUAAGGUGACCUCGGA
rnacentral:rRNA from 1 species